GUGGGGUAACGGCCUACCAAGGCGACGACGGGUAGCUGGUCUGAGAGGACGACCAGCCACACUGGAACUGAGAUACGGUCCAGACUCCUACGGGAGGCAGCAGUGGGGAAUCUUGCACAAUGGGCGAAAGCCUGAUGCAGCGACGCCGCGUGGGGGAUGAAUGCCUUCGGGUUGUAAACCCCUUUCGGCAGGGAAGAAGCGCAAGUGACGGUACCUGCAGAAGAAGCUCCGGCUAACUACGUGCCAGCAGCCGCGGUAAGACGUAGGGAGCGAGCGUUGUCCGGAUUCAUUGGGCGUAAAGCGCGCGUAGGCGGUCGUGCAAGUCGGAUGUGAAAAUCCCGGGCUCAACCCGGGACCUGCACCCGAUACUGCUCGACUCGAGGUAGGUAGGGGAGAUCGGAAUUCCUGGUGUAGCGGUGAAAUGCGCAGAUAUCAGGAGGAACACCGGUGGCGAAGGCGGAUCUCUGGGCCUUACCUGACGCUGAGGCGCGAAAGCUAGGGGAGCGAACAGGAUUAGAUACCCUGGUAGUCCUAGCCGUAAACGUUGGGUGCUAGGUGUGGGUGGACAUCGACCCCAUCCGUGCCGAAGCUAACGCAUUAAGCA
rnacentral:rRNA from 1 species